GUAAGGAAUAUUGGACAAUGGACGCAAGUCUGAUCCAGCCAUGCCGCGUGAAGGAUUAAGGUCCUCUGGAUUGUAAACUUCUUUUAUAAGGGACGAAAAAAGGCUUUUCUAAGUCGUCUGACGGUACCUUAUGAAUAAGCACCGGCUAACUCCGUGCCAGCAGCCGCGGUAAUACGGAGGGUGCAAGCGUUAUCCGGAUUCACUGGGUUUAAAGGGUGCGUAGGCGGGCAGGUAAGUCAGUGGUGAAAUCCUAGAGCUUAACUCUAGAACUGCCAUUGAUACUAUCUGUCUUGAAUAUUGUGGAGGUAAGCGGAAUAUGUCAUGUAGCGGUGAAAUGCUUAGAUAUGACAUAGAACACCUAUUGCGAAGGCAGCUUACUACGCAUAUAUUGACGCUGAGGCACGAAAGCGUGGGGAUCAAACAGGAUUAGAACCCUGGUAGUCC
rnacentral:rRNA from 1 species